rnacentral:rRNA from 1 species
GACAGAGGUGCCAAGCGUUAGGCGGAAUCACUGGGCUUAAAGCGUGUGUAGGUGGAUUUGUAAGUACCUUGUGAAAUCCCAUGGCUCAACCAUGGAACUGCUCGGUAUACUGCUUGUCUUGAGCCACUUAGGGGCUGUCGGAACAAACGGUGGGGCGGUGAAAUGCGUAGAUAUCGUUUGGAACGCCAAUGGUGAAAACAGACAGCUGGGAGUGUGCUGACGCUGAGACACGAAAGCCAGGGGAGCGAACGGG